UUGGGAAUCUUGCACAAUGGGGGAAACCCUGAUGCAGCGACGCCGCGUGGAGGAUGAAGGGUCUAGGCCUGUAAACUCCUUUUACCGGGAAAGACUUAGGACGGUACCCGGGGAAUAAGGACCGGCUAACUACGUGCCAGCAGCCGCGGUAAGACGUAGGGUCCAAGCGUUGUCCGGAUUUACUGGGCGUAAAGAGCGCGUAGGCGGUCCGUUAAGUGUAGAGUGAAAGCUCCGGGCUCAACUCGGAAAUUGCUCUGCAUACUGGCGGACUCGAGGACGGAAGAGGUUUGUGGAAUUCCUGGUGUAGCGGUGAAAUGCGUAGAUAUCAGGAGGAACACCCAUGGCGAAGGCAGCAAACUGGUCCGUAUCUGACGCUGAGGCGCGAAAGCGUGGGUAGCAAACAGGAUUAGAUACCCUGGUAGUCCACGCCCUAAACGAUGGAUACUAGGCGUGAGAGGUAUCGACCCCUCUCGUGCCGCAGCUAACGCACUAAGUAUCCCGCCUGGGGAGUACGGCCGCAAGGUUGAAACUC
rnacentral:rRNA from 1 species